GUGCCGGCAGCCGCGGUAAUACCGGCAGCCCGAGUGAUGGCCGAUCUUAUUGGGCCUAAAGCGCCUGUAGCUGGCCGCGCAAGUCCAUCGGGAAAUCCACCCGCCCAACGGGUGGCCGUCCGGUGGAAACUACACGGCUUGGGACCGGAAGGCGCGACGGGUACGUCCAGGGUAGGAGUGAAAUCCCGUAAUCCUGGACGGACCGCCGAUGGCGAAAGCACGUCGCGAGAACGGAUCCGACAGUGAGGGACGAAAGCUAGGGUCUCGAACCGGAUUAGAAACCCUAGUAGUCC
rnacentral:rRNA from 1 species